UGAGGAAUAUUGGGCAAUGCCCGCAAGGGUGACCCAGCAACGCCGCGUGGAGGAUGAAUGUCGUAAGAUUGUAAACUCCUGUUAGAGGGGAAGAAUAGUACCGGUUGGACCGGUAUAUGACUGUACCCUCAGAGAAAGCCCCGGCUAACUACGUGCCAGCAGCCGCGGCAAUACGUAGGGGGCAAGCGUUGUCCGGAUUUACUGGGUGUAAAGGGCGCGCAGGCGGGAUAAAAAGUCAGUGGUGAAAUCCUACAGCUUAACGGUAGAACUGCCUUUGAUACUGUUAGUCUCGAGUGCGGGAGACAGAGACGGAAUUCCAG
rnacentral:rRNA from 1 species